UCGCCAAAUUCUCGACGAAUUUCUCGUUGAACACCCUCUGCCACGUGACCUGCAGCACGCCUGUGAAUCGGACCCUCCGAUUAAAAUUCAGGUUUGAGGCAGUUGUACGUUGCGGUCUCUGUUUGUGGGGAAAAUGCUCACCUGUGGGAUCGGCGACUGAGCACGAAUAGUGCGCGUCACCGCCAUAAUCAGCUGUUCUAUUUCCAGAACCAGUGAUCUGCGACCUGGAGUCUGUCCAUAGAAACAGCUCGGUGUCAGUAAAUGCAGAGUUGACUAUAAAUAAACAAAAUACUAACGAUAAUAACACUUUAAUUUGUUAUAACGCUUUUCUAAAUACCCAGAGAGCAUUUGACAUGGCAAAGACAGACAACCAAAACAAAAAAGAAAGUACAUAAAAGGCUGCAUUGCUUUUCUUGAAUAUAAAGACAAACUACCACAUUGAA